CCUACGGGAGGCAGCAGUGGGGAAUAUUGCACAAUGGGGGAAACUCUGAUGCAGCGACGCCGCGUGAGUGAAGAAGUAAUUCGUUAUGUAAAGCUCUAUCUGUAGGGAAGUAAAUGACGGUACCUGAGUAAGAAGCCCCGGCUAACUACGUGCCAGCAGCGGCGGCAAUACGUAGGGGGCAAGCGUUAUCCGGAUUUACUGGGUGUAAAGGGAGCGUAGACGGGAGUGCAAGUCUGGAGUGAAAGGCGGGGGCUCAACCCCCGGACUGCCCUGGAAACUGUACGGCUGGAGUGCAGGAGAGGUAAGUGGAAUUCCUGGUGUAGCGGUGAAAUGCGUAGAUAUUAGGAGGAACACCAGUGGCGAAGGCGGCUUACUGGACUGUAACUGACGUUGAGGCUCGAAAGCGUGGGGAGCAAACAGGAUUAGAUACCCCUGUAGUC
rnacentral:rRNA from 1 species